AGACUCUAGAGGAGAAUGGCAUUCUCGUCAUCCCGGAAAAGUCAUCCCGGAUCAGAAUGGUUAUACACCACCAGAUAACAACAAGUGAUGUGCAUUACACAUUGUCUUGCUUACAACAAGCAGUGGAGACGAUACAAGAACCAAGCCGAAACUAAGUUGGCGAAACCGAAUUAUGCUUCUCCUUUUUCUUUUGGGUAUCGUACGUCAAGAAGUAUCGUUCAUAAGUGUUAUUUAUUGCAAGUAUGCUUUAUUAUGACUAUUAUUAAGGAUCUCAAUAAAAUUGUUACAAUGAUUCCUCA